AGUGAACGCUGGCGGUAGGCCUAACACAUGCAAGUCGAACGGCAGCACAGUAAGAGCUUGCUCUUACGGGUGGCGAGUGGCGGACGGGUGAGGAAUACAUCGGAAUCUACUUUUUCGUGGGGGAUAACGUAGGGAAACUUACGCUAAUACCUCAUACGACCUACGGGUGAAAGCAGGGGAUCUUCGGACCUUGCGCGAUUGAAUGAGCCGAUGUGGGAUUAGCUAGUUGGCGGGGUAAAGGCCCACCAAGGCGACGAUCCGUAGCUGGCCUGAGAGGAUGAUCGGCAACACUGGAACUGGGACACGGUCCAGACUCCUACGGGAGGCAGCAGUGGGGAAUAUUGGACAAUGGGCGCAAGCCUGAUCCAGCCAUACCGCGUGGGUGAAGAAGGCCUUCGGGUUGUAAAGCCCUUUUGUUGGGAAAGAAAAGCAGCAGGUUAAUACCCCGCUGUUCUGACGGUACCCAAAGAAUAAGCACCGGCUAACUUCGUG
rnacentral:rRNA from 1 species